AUGGGUAUCGACCUCGUCGCCGGCGGCCGCAACAAGAGGACCAAGCGCACGGCGCCCAAAUCCGACGAUGUGUACCUCAAGCUGCUCGUCAAGCUCUACCGCUUCCUGGUGCGGAGGACCAAGAGCCAGUUCAACGCCGUGAUCCUCAAGCGUCUCUUCAUGAGCAAGACCAACCGCCCGCCGCUCUCGAUGCGCCGCCUCGUCAGGUUCAUGGAGGGGAAGGCGGACAAGAUCGCCGUGAUCGUGGGCACCAUCACCGAUGACCAGAGGGUCUACGAGAUACCGGCAAUGAAGGUGGCCGCGCUCAGGUUCACCGAGACGGCGAGGGCCAGGAUCGUCAAUGCUGGUGGCGAGUGCCUUACCUUUGACCAGCUCGCCCUCCGUGCUCCGCUUGGACAGAACACGCUUCUCCUGAGGGGUCCCAAGAACGCCAGGGAAGCUGUUAGGCACUUUGGCAAAGCUCCAGGAGUGCCACACAGCCACACCAAGCCAUAUGUCCGCUCAAAGGGCAGGAAAUUCGAGAAGGCGAGAGGAAGGAGGAACAGCAGGGGAUUCAAGGUCUAA
rnacentral:rRNA from 1 species